CUGCAGUGAUGAUUAUUUAGGACACCUUUGAUUCUCCAUGAAGAGAAACUUAAUAUCUGAGCUUU